UACGGAGGGUGCAAGCGUUGUCCGGAUUUAUUGGGUUUAAAGGGUGCGUAGGCGGUUUAUUAAGUCAGUGGUGAAAGACGGUCGCUCAACGAUUGCAGUGCCAUUGAUACUGGUAGACUUGAGUGAGAUUGAGGUAGCUGGAAUGGAUAGUGUAGCGGUGAAAUGCAUAGAUAUUAUCCAGAACACCAAUUGCGUAGGCAAGUUACUAAGUCUCAACUGACGCUGAGGCACGAAAGUGUGGGUAUCAAACAGG
rnacentral:rRNA from 2 species